UUUCAGCGCCAGGAUGCAGCCCUGCAACAAGUCAAGUCAUCAUAAAACGGGCAUGACUCUGAGCAUGUGCAGAAUGUCUGCCUUCCUUGCGUGACACCUCUGGAAUCAGAAGGCAAUAGGGCUUCCAGGAGUUUCUGCCUUUUGGUGAAUUUCCAAGAAGUCUCUCUGCUACAGAAUAAGGAGGUCAUCAGUGGUUCUCCAACCAAUAUGACAAGAUAUUUUAUUGUACUAUACAGUUCUCCUUUGGACGGUGGCAGAUGAAUUCAAGAAGAACAUUGAGAAUUGUUCCUGCAUGGACAUUGUUAAUAUGAUCAUGUUAAUAACUGAACUUGCUCUAAGUUUGUGGUUACUAUAUUUUCAUGUCUAAAUGAAGAAAAACCUUGUGAGGCCUCAAAACCUCCACAAAAAGCAAGCCAAAUAAAAGGGUUCUGUGGUGCAUUUUCUGGAAGCAUUUUAAAGGAUUGUUUGGAUAAGUUUUCAAACCUAGGGUUAGACAGCCAUGGGGAACCCCACAGAGCACAUUAGAGCUCUGGUUCUCUGUCCUCCCUCCCAACAUGAGUGCGCAGAUGGACAUGCGGGCAGGGCAAGGGGCCAUGGCAGAGAAUGGAAGAUAUUCUGUAUGCAACUCUCAUAUCCCCAUUGAGCCCUCUUACUUGUGCCCUGAGCACCUAUAACCUGCAAGGCACAGGAAGAGAGGGCUGGAUAGGAAUCUGGGGAAUGUGCAUAGACUUGCUAUUAUCUGCAGGACUUCCUUAAGCUGCCGGCACAUCCGCCUGUGCAAGCAGAGAGAAGGAAAAGCAGGGCUCUUUGGGGUUCCUCCAUGUGCGGGCACUGUCCCCAUGCUUCUAUACUGAACCCUACAAGCCUUCAGUACUCUCUCAGAAGGAAACCCUGUAAAAUUCUUCUCCCCUGAGACUAUCUUCUGCUCCAAUAUCUGUUGCUUUGUUGUAUUUAUUUGAUCGCUAAUCAGGAUAAGAUGGGCUGGAAACUGAAAUAAACAUAUUUGUGUAUCUUUGAUUAGUUGGCAUGAUACAUAUGUGUUCAAUAUUUGUGCAUGGAAAAAUAAAUGUUCCAAGGUAU